UGUACCACACAGAAAGACAUAAAAUAUAUGAGUGAGUGUGGAUAUAUCUUUCUCAGGUCAUUUCAGUUGCUAUGGGAAAUCGCUUUAUUCAUGUUGCCAGCAUAGUUAUUUAUUCACAUCAGCCUUCACUCUUUGCAGCUUCCCAUCUUCAUUUGAAGCCCCGCCGCUAAGCAGCCAGAUCUCGGCUGUGCUUCGUUCAAAGCAGGUCUUCGUGACGCUCGCUCCUGACCAUCAUAAAUCACACAGCAGCCGCCAGGGAGAUGAAGAGACAGGAGAAGUCCGCAGCCCCCAGAAGCCACCGUACCCGCUUCAUCGUCGUCAGGCUAGAGUAAGAGGAGAAGAUGCUUGAUACUUUAGGCAGAUACCUGAACAACAUGGUCAUCACAACAUAAACCUUCUGGAUGUCUUCUGAAGAAAAGUCAGACUUUGGGUUUGGAUUUCCUUUUCAGGAUCCGACAAUAGGAGUCUGUUAAUCUUGAGAUCCUCCAACUGGAGUUUCAUGUCUUUUACGAUUU